UCCUCCCUAUAAAAGCAGCCUCUGAGCCUUUUCAAACCAUCUUCCCUCCUCCGGGAAACAACUGUAAACCUUGCUCUGUUCAUCAGAUUUACACUACCAGGAAUGGAGCGUCUGAUGGUUCUGAUGUUGCUGUGCUCUGCCCUGGCACUGACCCACGGAUACUGUUAUAGAGUACAACUUCGCAGGAUCUCAAAGUUUGGUCCCAGAAAUAAAUGCAUUGAUGAAACUGAUAAUAAAAUAUACAAGUUGGGCUCCAAAUGGCAAAACAGCCAGUGUGAGACUUGUCUCUGCAUGAAGGAUGCCAUGAGCUGCUGUGAAACAUCAGGUGAGUGCUACUGAAGGACUAAGGAUCCCCAAAAGAGCCUCCUUUGGUUCUCUGUUGGAGCAUAACUGAUAUUUGUGCCUCUUGGAAAUAAUCAUAUAAUAAACAGUGACACAUAAAUCACAAA